rnacentral:rRNA from 1 species
AACGAACGCUGGCGGCAUGCCUAACACAUGUAAGUCGAACGAGACCUUCGGGUCUAGUGGCGCACGGGUGCGUAACGCGUGGGAACCUGCCCUUAGGUUCGGAAUAACUCCCCGAAAGGGGUGCUAAUACCGGAUAAUGUCUUCGGACCAAAGAUUUAUCGCCUUAGGAUGGGCCCGCGUUGGAUUAGCUAGUUGGUAGGGUAAAAGCCUACCAAGGCGACGAUCCAUAGCUGGUCUGAGAGGAUGAUCAGCCACACUGGGACUGAGACACGGCCCAGACUCCUACGCGAGGCAGCAGUGGGGAAUAUUGGACAAUGGGCGAAAGCCUGAUCCAGCAAUGCCGCGUGAGUGAUGAAGGCCUUAGGGUUGUAAAGCUCUUUUACCCGGGAUGAUAAUGACAGUACCGGGAGAAUAAGCUCCGGCUAACUCCGUG